CCUACGGGUGGCAGCAGUGGGGAAUAUUGCACAAUGGGGGAAACCCUGAUGCAGCGACGCCGCGUGAAGGAAGAAGUAUUUCGGUGUGUAAACUUCUAUCUGCAGGGAAGAAAAUGACGGUACCUGACUAAGAAGCCACGUCUAACUACGUGCCAGCAGCCGCGGUAAUACGUAGGGGGCAAGCGUUAUCCGGAUUUACUGGGUGUAAAGGGAGCGUAGGCGGCGAUUCAAGUCAGAAGUGAAAGCCCGGGGCUCAACUCCGGGACUGCUUUUGAAACUGUGUUGCUAGAUUGCAGGAGAGGUAAGUGGAAUUCCUAGUGUAGCGGUGACAUGCGUAGAUAUUAGGCGGAACACCAGUGGCGAAGGCGGCUUACUGGACUGUAAAUGACGCUGAGGCUCGAAAGCGUGGGGAGCAAACAGGAUUAGAUACCCCAGUAGUC
rnacentral:rRNA from 1 species